GAUGAACGCUGGCGGCGUGCUUAACACAUGCAAGUCGAACGGGACUAUUUUCAAACGAAGCUUCGGCCGAGGGAGGAUUUAGUCUAGUGGCGGACGGGUGAGUAACGCGUGAGCAACCUGCCCUUCAGUGGGGGACAACAGGUGGAAACGGCUGCUAAUACCGCAUAUUGCACAUGGGUCGCAUGGCCUGGGUGUGAAAGAUUUAUCGCUGAAGGAUGGGCUCGCGUCUGAUUCGCUAGUUGGUGGGGUAACGGCCCACCAAGGCGACGAUCAGUAGCCGGACUGAGGGGUUGCACGGCCACAUUGGGACUGAGACACGGCCCAAACUCCUACGGGAGGCAGCAGUGAGGAAUAUUGCACAAUGGGGGGAACCCUGAUGCAGCAACGCCGCGUGAAGGAAGAAGGGUUUCGGCUCGUAAACUUCUAUCGACAGGGAAGAAGAAUGACGGUACCUGAAUAAGAAGCCCCGGCUAACUACGUGCCAGCCGCCGCGGUAAAAC
rnacentral:rRNA from 1 species